ACGUGCGUAGCUCAAUUGGUAGAGUAGCGGUCUCCAAAACCGCCGGUUGGGGGUUCGAGUCCCUCCGCACGUGCCA
rnacentral:tRNA from 1 species